GUCUUUUUGCACUAAAACAGAAAAAAAAGGGAAAAAAAAGUAGAUACUAUACUCAGACCAGCAACUCAGGGCUUCAGACUGUUCAAGAGUCAAGAGCUAGCUCUAAGCACUUACCUCUCCCCAGGCACUGAGUCUAAGACUCCACCUCGCCAAGCCUCCUGUCUUCCAUCAACAAGGACCAACAAGACCAGUUUCCAGAGCUCCUGGCCUCCAGCAAGAGUCAAGAGGAUACCCUCAAGAUGCCCUCCCAUCCCUGACAUUUGCGGUUUCCUCACAGCAACAGGUGAGUCGGACUAACUUCACAAUGCCCUUUACUGAUUUUCAGCUCCUAAAACCAGCCCAGGAGGCCUCACUGGGGCACUCCAAGCCCCUUAAGACU
rnacentral:lncRNA from 1 species